ACUCCUACGGGAGGCAGCAGUGGGAAUAUUGCACAAUGGGGAAGCCCAUCGAUGCAGCCAUGCCGCGCUGUGUGAAGAAGGCCAAUUCGGGGCUUUGGUUAAAGACACUUUCAGUAGGGAGGAAGGUAGUGUAGUUAACACCUGCAUUAUUUGACGUUACCUACAGAAGAAGCACCGGCUAACUCCGUGCCAGCAGCCGCGGUAAUACGGAGGGUGCGAGCGUUAAUCGGAAUUACUGGGCGUAAAGCGCAUGCAGGCGGCCUGUUAAGUCAGAUGUGAAAGCCCGGGCUUAA
rnacentral:rRNA from 1 species